GCUUACGGCCAUACCAGCCGAAGAACGCCCGAUCUUGUCUGAUAUCGGAACCUAAGAAGGCAUGGGCCUGGCUAGUACUGGGAUGGGAGACUGCCUGGGAAUACCAGGUGCUGUAAGCU
ensembl:rRNA 5S_rRNA 5S ribosomal RNA